rnacentral:tRNA from 1 species
AAUUUUUAAUUAUUUUUAGGAUUAUAGUUUAAAAAAAANCAUUUGAUUUGCAUUCAAAAAAUAUUAAUAUUUUAAUUUAUCUUA